rnacentral:rRNA from 1 species
AUUGAACGCUGGCGGCAGGCCUAACACAUGCAAGUCGAACGAGUGGCGGACGGGUGAGUAAUGUCUGGGCAACUGCCCGAUGGAGGGGGAUAACUACUGGAAACGGUAGCUAAUACCGCAUACCAUCGGAUGUGCCCAGAUGGGAUUAGCUAGUAGUUGGGGUAACGGCUCACCUAGGCGGCGAUCCCUAGCUGGUCUGAGAGGAGGACAAGCGACAUGGGAACUGAGACACGGUCCAGACGCCUACGGGAGGCAGCAGUGGGGAAUAUUGCACAAUGGGCGCAAGCCUGAUGCAGCCAUGCAGCGUGUAUGAAGAAGGCCGUCGGGGUGUAAAGUACUUUCAGCGAGGAGGCGUUAGUCGCAGAAGAAGCACCGGCUAACUCCGUGCCAGCAGCCGCGGUAAUAC